UCGUAGCACCAUAUUCAGCUACUCUGCAGCAAGCGGCUCCCUCGCCCACAUCCUCUCUGCAUCCUGAACAAGUCAACAAGUCGACGUCAUGAAGUACUUCUCCGCCCUGUGUGUCCUCGUGCUGGUGAUGCUGGCGCUGGCAUCGCCGGCCCGGGGCUGUGACAGCGGGUGUGACAACAACAGCGGCGGCGGCAGCAGCAGCAGCAGCAGCAGCGGGAGCAGCGGCAGCAGCACGUCCGGCUCACAGACCGGUGGAGUUUUGAACAACCUCUUGGCUACGCAAAACAACGGCUAAGCAGCGUGGAUUCAAGCAACCCAACUACAAUACUUUCUAUUUCAUAUUUUCCUCUAUUCUUUUUUAUUCAUUCUAUACAUACUCUGAAGAUCUAUCACCACUGACAAGCCUUCGUCUAGUCUAGUCUAUGUAUACAGUCUAUAGAUCUUGUGGCUAUCGCCUACAUGCUAA